AGAGUUUGAUUCUGGCUCAGAACGAACGCUGGCGGCGUGGAUAAGACAUGCAAGUUGAGCGAAGAACUGACGAUAGCAAUAUCUGACGGGAUUAGCAGCGAACGGGUGAGUAACACGUAGGAAUCUGCCCCAAAGUUCGGAAUAGCCUGGCGAAAGUCAGGGUAAUACCGGAUGUGAUCUUCGGAUUAAAGGCUUCGGUCGCUUUGGGAUGAGCCUGCGUUCCAUCAGCUUGUUGGUAGGGUAAAAGCCUACCAAGGCGAAGACGGAUAGCUGGUCUGAGAGGACGGUCAGCCACAAUGGAACUGAGACACGGUCCAUACACCUACGGGUGGCAGCAGUCGAGAAUCAUUCGCAAUGGACGAAAGUCUGACGGUGCGACGCCGCGUGGGGGAUGAAGGCCUUAGGGUCGUAAACCCCUGUCGGGUGCGAGUAAGGUCCUACUUACGUAGGAAUUGAUAUUAGCAUCAAAGGAAGGGACGGCUAACUCCGUGCCAGCAGCCGCGGUAAUACGGAGGUCCCAAGCGUUGUUCGGAUUCACUGGGCGUAAAGCGUGCGUAGGCGGAGAAAUAAGUUUGGCGUGAAAGCCCCGGGCCCAACCCGGAAAUUGCGUUGAAAACUAUUUCCCUAGAGGAUUGGAGGGGAGACUGGAAUUCCUGGUGUAGCAGUGAAAUGCGUAGAUAUCAGGAGGAACACCGGUGGCGAAGGCGAGUCUCUGGACAAUUCCUGACGCUGAGGUACGAAGGCUAGGGUAGCGAAAAGGAUUAGAUACCCUUGUAGUCCUAGCAGUAAACGGUGUGCACUUGCUGUAGGCGGAUUCGACCCCGCCUGUG
rnacentral:rRNA from 1 species